AUUGAACGCUGGCGGCAUGCCUUACACAUGCAAGUCGAACGGCAGCACGGGUGCUUGCACCUGGUGGCGAGUGGCGAACGGGUGGGUAAUACAUCGGAACGUACCUUAUCGUGGGGGAUAACGCAGCGAAAGCUGUGCUAAUACCGCAUAAGCCCUGAGGGGGAAAGCGGGGGAUCGAAAGACCUCGCGCGAUUAGAGCGGCCGAUGCCUGAUUAGCUUGUUGGUGGGGUAAAAGCCCACCAAGGCGACGAUCAGUAGCUGGUCUGAGAGGACGAUCAGCCACACUGGGACUGGGAAACGGCCCAGACUCCUACGGGAGGCAGCAGUGGGGAAUUUUGGACAAUGGGGGCAACCCUGAUCCAGCAAUGCCGCGUGAGUGAAGAAGGCCUUCGGGUUGUAAAGCUCUUUUGUCAGGGAAGAAACACCGGCUCUAACACAGUCCGGGAAUGACGGUACCUGAAGAAUAAGCACCGGCUAACUACGUGCCAGCCGCCGCCGUAA
rnacentral:rRNA from 1 species